GUAAAAAUAGACAUCUAAUUGAAAUAGCUCAUACUUCAUCAUCAUGUAUCUCUUCAUUUUUGGGGGAAUGUUGUCCUUACUGCUUGCUAUUUCAUUAAUCGUAUGCCUUCUUUUGUUUUGUAGCAUCAAAAUCCUCAAUCAGUUCUCUAUCUAGAUCAAAAUCCUUUUCCUCUUUCGUUGCGUGUAUUUCGUUACACCAGUUUUGUUCACAAUCUUACCUCCAGAAAAGACAAACUUCAACCAAAAU
rnacentral:misc_RNA from 1 species